rnacentral:lncRNA from 1 species
AUUAGGGACGCUCAGUCAGAUGAGGCAACAGAGGGUGAGUAAACACUGAGAAGCUUGGUGCUGGUAUACUCACACAAUUGACCCAAAGCAGAAGUCAGCAGGAAUGGGAGCUGCAACAAAGCACGAAGAAGAGAAAACAGAAAACAUCCAUUGAAUCCUCUGCCUCUGGUAAUGUAUGGCUCCCAGUAUGCCUCCUUCAAGAGCAUGACUGACCCAAUUACUAGUAUGAGCAAAAGAAAGUUUCAGAAAGGUGAUGAAAUUUAAGCUGGGCUUUAAAGGCUACAUCAAAUUUGACAAAUGGAAUUGUGAGGAAAGCACAUUAGAAGUAAAGAGUGAACCCACAAAAACAAGAGAACAUCAUGUUUCUAGAGGCUGCCUGCAUUCCUUGGCUAAUGACUUUGCAUCACUCUGACGUCUUGCUCCCAUGGUCGUAUCACCUACUACUGGCCCUGAUCUCACUACUUGUUAUAUGGAACAAAGGGAUAAGGAAGUGACUUGCCUAAGUCACUGAGGAACCUAAUAUUGAGAUUAGCACUCAAUGAUUCCUGGCUCUCAGAAUGUGUGCUGCUACCACCAGGCCACACUCUUCCCUCCAGAGAGAAGAUGUGUCAGCACGGAAUUGUGCUGAAGCAAAGAUGUGAAAUAGAAUGAUUACAUAUCUACCUAGUGGGAAGAUCUGGGGAAGAAUCUAUCAGUGCUGGCAGAGAAGCAAACCAUACGACAUCACUCAUCCCCAGAAAGUGAAGUUAAGGGAAAUAAAAAACAAUCUACACCAUUUAGAAAACACAGCCACCCCAUACCCUUGGAAAAAAUACACUAAAAUAUCUUCAUCUGAUUUGACCUCUAAUAACAUGAAUAAUUGUCUUAUAACUCACUUUCUUACCUCUUGAUUAUUCUACAGAUCCGGCACAUAUGAGCAAAAUCUGAUGAAAUUCACUCAUUUAAUUUGAAGAUUUUAAUUAUGUAGAAAAAGUAGGUUCGCAUUCUUUCUUAUUAAUAGAGUUCAAAAGACUUAAGGCCUAGAGUCUAGCUUCAGCUAUUAAAAUUAUACAUCAGC